UACGUAGGGUGCAAGCGUUAUCCGGAAUUAUUGGGCGUAAAGCGUCCGCAGGUGGCUAUUCAAGUCUGCGGUCAAAGACUGGGGCUUAACCCUGGAAAGGCCGUGGAAACUGAAGAGCUAGAGUGCAGUAGGGGUAGAGGGAAUUCCCGGUGUAGCGGUGAAAUGCGUAGAGCUCGGGAAGAACAUCGGUGGCGAAAGCGCUCUGCUGGACUGCAACUGACACUCAGGGACGAAAGCUAGGGGAGCGAAUGGG
rnacentral:rRNA from 1 species